rnacentral:rRNA from 1 species
AGAGUUUGACCUGGCUCAGGACGAACGCUGGCGGCGUGCUUAACACAUGCAAGUGGAGCGACGAACCGGGGCUUGCCCCGGGGCAGAGCCGCGAACGGGUGAGUAACACGUGGGUUACCUGCCUUGAUGACCGGGACAACCCGAGGAAACUCGGGCUAAUACCGGAUGUGCCCGCAAGGGGAAAGGAAGCUUCGGCCUCCGCAUCAAGAUGGGCCCGCGGCCCAUUAGCUUGUUGGUGAGGUAACGGCUCACCAAGGCUUCGAUGGGUAGCUGGUCUGAGAGGACGAUCAGCCACACUGGGACUGAGACACGGCCCAGACUCCUACGGGAGGCAGCAGUGGGGAAUCUUGCGCAAUGCGCGAAAGCGUGACGCAGCAACGCCGCGUGGGGGAAGAAGGCUUUCGGGUUGUAAACCCCUUUCAGUUGGGACGAAGCUUCUCCGGUGAAUAGCCGGAUGGAGUGACGGUACCUUCACAAGAAGCAC